AUGUCUCGGAUGUUAUCAUUAACAUGGCAACCAUUAACAGCGAAUUUUCAAAUGUGAUGUUAAAAGUGGCAGCGAUUUUGUUGCAAAAACAGUUAAUGUGGUAAUAUGGGGUAAUAAAAGAGCAAAGCUCAUGAAUCAGUCAAUAAAGCUGAGAGAAAGUCACAAAACAAGUACUACCCCCCUGACUGGGACCCCAGCAAGGGCUCGGUCAACAAACAUUUUGGUCAACACCCCCUCCGUGACAGAGCAAAGAAGAUUUCACAGGGCAUUCUUGUCAUCAGAUCGAUCUACUUGUACAGUGAACAACAGAAAGCAAGAAGGUGACGGCAAAUGUCAUGGCCAAAGUUUCAAUGUAUAACUUUUUAAAUUUUUCUAGCAGUGAAUAUAGUAAAUAUUAUUAAAGAAAGAUCCUUAGGUACAUGUAGGUGUUGUAUAAAAAGUAAAUGAUUUUUUUUUUACUUUUUUGGGCUAUGGAAGUAGCGAU